UACGUAGGGUGCAAGCGUUGUCCGGAAUUAUUGGGCGUAAAGAGCUCGUAGGCGGUUUGUCGCGUCUGCUGUGAAAACUCGGGGCUUAACUCGGAGCGGCCAAGUGAUACUGUCGUGCUAGAGUGCGGAAGGGGCUACUGGAAUUCUCGGUGUAGCGGUGAAAUGCGUAGAUAUCGAGAGGAACACCUGCGGCGAAGGCGGGUAGCUGGGCCGACACUGACGCUGAGGCGCGAAAGCCAGGGGAGCGAACGGG
rnacentral:rRNA from 1 species